CCACUUACAGAUGGGCCCGCGGCGCAUUAGCUAGUUGGUAGGGUAACGGCCUACCAAGGCGACGAUGCGUAGCCGACCUGAGAGGGUGAUCGGCCACACUGGGACUGAGACACGGCCCAG
rnacentral:rRNA from 1 species